AUUGAACGCUGGCGGCAGGCCUAACACAUGCGAGUCGAACGGUAACAGAAAGCAGCUUGCUGCUUUGCUGACGAGUGGCGGGCGGGUGAGUCAUGUCUGGGACACUGCCUGAUGGAGGGGGAUAACUACUGGAAACGGUAGCUAAUACCGCAUAACGUCGCAAGACCAAAGAGGGGGACCUUCGGGCCUCUUGCCAUCGGCUGUGCCCAGAUGGGAUUAGCUAGUAGGUGGGGUAAAGGCUCACCUAGGCGACGAUCCCUAGCUGGUCUGAGAGGAUGACCAGCCACACUGGAACGGAGACACGGUCCAGACUCCUACGGGAGGCAGCAGUGGGGAAUAUUGCACAAUGGGCGCAAGCCUGAUGCAGCCAUGCCGCGUGUAUGAAGAAGGCCUUCGGGUGGUAAAGUACUUUCAGCGGGGAGGAAGGGAGUAAAGUUAAUACCUUUGCUCAUUGACGUUACCCGCAGAAGAAGCACCGGCUAACUCCGUG
rnacentral:rRNA from 1 species